AUGGCUCCCUUGCUCCAGCGCGCCCUCCUCGCCGCCCUGCUGCUCGCCAGCACGGCCUCCUCAUCCUUCGUCACCGCCAGCCGCGACGACGGCGGCGGGCGCUUCGACCCCACCCGCGCCGUCCACGUCUCAUGGCGCCCCAGGGCGUUCCUGUACAAGGGGUUCCUGUCGGAGGCGGAAUGCGAUCACCUCGUCGCGCUGGCGGAGGAGGGUGGCCUGCAGAAGUCGAUGGUGGUGGACCGGCUGACGGGGAAGAGCGUGAUGAGCCAGGUGCGCACUAGCUCCGGAACGUUCCUCCCCAAGAAGCAGGACCGAGUUGUGGCGACGAUAGAGGAGAGGAUCGCCGCCUGGACCAUGCUGCCACAGGAGAACGGCGAGAGCAUCCAGGUGCUCCGGUACGAGAGCGGCCAGAAGUACGAGCCGCACGUCGACUUCAUCCGGCACACAGCCAAAGGCUACCAUUCCCGCGGGGGGCACCGCGUCGCCACCGUGCUCAUGUACCUGUCCGACGUCAAGAUGGGCGGCGAGACCGUCUUCCCCAACUCCGACGCCGAGACGUUGCAGCCUAAAGACGACACAUGGUCAGAGUGUGCACGACGUGGGUACGCAGUGAAACCUGUGAAGGGCGACGCGGUGCUGUUCUUCAGCCUGCACCCAAACGGGACGACGGACCCGGACAGCCUGCACGGGAGCUGCCCCGUGAUCGAGGGGGAGAAGUGGUCGGCGACCAAGUGGAUCCACGUCCGAUCCUUCGACAGCCGCCCUCGCGUGCCAGUCACCGGAUGCGGGGACGAGAACGAUCUCUGCCCUCGGUGGGCCGCCAAUGGGGAGUGCGCCAGGAACCCUCGCUACAUGGUCGGAACCGCCGGCAACCCCGGCUUCUGCCGGAAGAGCUGCAACGCGUGCACCAGUUCAUUGUAG
rnacentral:rRNA from 1 species